AACGCACGAGACCUGCGGACCUGCGGAAGGAUCAUUAAUGAGAAGCUGCCCCUCGCGGGUAGAUCUCCCACCCUUUGUAAACUUACCUUUGUUGCUUUGGCAGGCCCGUCUCCGGACCGCCGGCUUCGGCUGGCCAGUGCCUGCCAGAGGAUUCUAAAACUCUGUCUGUCAGUGUUGUCUGAGUCUAUAUACAAUCGUUAAAACUUUUAACAAUGGAUCUCUAGAUCGGAAGAGCACACG
rnacentral:misc_RNA from 1 species